UACAGAGGGUGCGAGCGUUGUCCGGAAUCACUGGGCGUAAAGGGCGCGUAGGCGGCUUGAUAAGCGUGCGGUGAAAGCCCGGGGCUCAACCCCGGGUCGGCCGUGCGAACUGUCGAGCUGGAGCACUGUAGAGGCAGGUGGAAUUCCGGGUGUAGCGGUGGAAUGCGUAGAGAUCCGGAAGAACACCGGUGGCGAAGGCGGCCUGCGGGGCAGUGGCUGACGCUGAGGCGCGACAGCGUGGGGAGCAGACAGG
rnacentral:rRNA from 1 species